GAUAAACUGUGAAGCCGAAAUCUGUAAUCGUGAAGGAUUCAACGAAAAACUCAACUUCAAUUUCGAAAAUUUCUAACGAGAUACACCACAUGAAUCGAACGGAGAACUUAUGAACAGAACUCGAAUCAGCACUGGAACGACGACCUCAAACCGUUUCUAACAUCUCGGCUCCGAAUCUGUUUGUGUUUUCAGCGUGAGUGUGUGUGUUUUGUGAAGAAAAUGAUAGGCAGUGAGGAGUCGUUCAUUUCUGCUCAAUUGCGGCUGUCUCUCUUGUGUAUUUUCAGCUGAGUCUCCCAAUUGAAAAAGAAUAUGUAAGACGAUGGGGGUGGGG
rnacentral:lncRNA from 1 species